AAUGUGAUAUCGGAGUAAUAAGAUAUAGACGUUUUAAAUCUGACAGGCCAAACUAAAUAGUGAAUUCGGCCCAACCCAAUUCUAAUUCGGGUCAGGCCCAAUACCCACAAAAUUAAAUCUGAUUUUUGUAACUAUUCCUUCAUACAAAGAUCAACAUAAUUCUGGAAAUUUCCAAAGAGAGAGAGAAAGGGAGUUCUUGAGAAAAAUCCCAAAUCCGACCAAAAUUAAGUCCCGAAAUCCGAAGCUCAUGAAGAGAAAAUUGUUGUACGUCGCGUUGGCUUCAAUUUGAGCUAGAAAUCAACCAAUAAGGAGAAGAUUUUAUGUGGUGCUGCAAAUUUAAGGUUGAGACAAUAUUGGACAACAUAUACGUAUAAACGCUAAAGGUACAGAUACUUAUUUUGGAGAGCCGCCACCUUAGGAUUCUACUCAACGUGCUCCAUUGUCUCGGAGCCUAAACUUUUGGUACUAAUCCUUAUAAUGUAUAUAUUUGUGUAUUUUGGGGGUACGGCGGGGCCCUGUCUCGUCAUAUGCUAUUGUUAAUCCUCUUAGAGGUCUGUAGACACAUGAGUGGGUUGUAUGUAGAUAUUGUCUGAUGUACUAGUAUGGCAUAUGUUUUUGGACAUUUACAUUCGGAGUGAAAGCCUUGUCGGCUUACGUAUUAUGUUAUCUUAUUUUUGACAAUUAAGACUCCCCAAGAAAUAGCUAAUUUUGGUAUAUAUAUAAGUGACAGUUUGAGACAA